CGGGUGAGUAACACGUGAGUAACCUGCCCCAGGCUUUGGGAUAACCCCGGGAAACCGGGGCUAAUACCGGAUAUGACCAUCUGUCGCAUGGUGGGUGGUGGAAAGAUUUUUUGGCUUGGGAUGGGCUCGCGGCCUAUCAGCUUGUUGGUGGGGUGAUGGCCUACCAAGGCGGCGACGGGUAGCCGGCCUGAGAGGGCGACCGGCCACACUGGGACUGAGACACGGCUACAGACUCAUACGGGAGGCAGCAGUGGGGAAUCUUGCACAAUGGGCGGAAGCCUGAUGCAGCGACGCCGCGUGAGGGAUGACGGCCUUCGGGUUGUAAACCUCUUUCAGCAGGGACGAAGCGUUUGUGACGGUACCUGCAGAAGAAGCGCCGGCCAACUACGUGCCAGCAGCCGCGGUAAGACGUAGGGCGCAAGCGUUGUCCGGAUUUAUUGGGCGUAAAGAGCUCGUAGGCGGCUUGUCGCGUCGACUGUGAAAACCCGUGGCUCAACUGCGGGCUUGCAGUCGAUACGGGCAGGCUAGAGUUCGGUAGGGGAGACUGGAAUUCCUGGUGUAGCGGUGAAAUGCGCAGAUAUCAGGAGGAACACCGGUGGCGAAGGCGGGUCUCUGGGCCGAUACUGACGCUGAGGAGCGAAAGCGUGGGGAGCGAACAGGAUUAGAUACCCUGGUAGUCCACGCUGUAAACGUUGGGCGCUAGGUGUGGGGGGCCUCCUCCGGGUUCUCUGUGCCGCAGCUAACGCAUUAAGCGCCCGCCUGGGGAGUACGGCCGCAAGGCUAAAACUCAAAGGAAUUGACGGGGGCCCGCA
rnacentral:rRNA from 1 species